rnacentral:rRNA from 1 species
GACGAACGCUGGCGGCGUGCUUAACACAUGCGAGUCGAACGGAAAGGCCCUGCUUUUGUGGGGUGCUCGAGUGGCGAACGGGUGAGUAACACGUGAGUAACCUGCCCUUGACUUUGGGAUAACUUCAGGAAACUGGGGCUAAUACCGGAUAGGAGCUCCUGCUGCAUGGUGGGGGUUGGAAAGUUUCGGCGGUUGGGGAUGGACUCGCGGCUUAUCAGCUUGUUGGUGGGGUAGUGGCUUACCAAGGCUUUGACGGGUAGCCGUCCUGAGAGGGUGACCGGCCACAUUGGGACUGAGAUACGGCCCAGACUCCUACGGGAGGCAGCAGUGGGGAAUAUUGCACAAUGGGCGGAAGCCUGAUGCAGCAACGCCGCGUGCGGGAUGACGGCCUUCGGGUUGUAAACCGCUUUCGCCUGUGACGAAGCGUGAGUGACGGUAAUGGGUAAAGAAGCACCGGCUAACUACGUG